AAACAUUCAACAAAGUUGGGGUGAUCGGUUCAUUAGGCAGCUCGAGCACUAGGGCGGUACCAGAGCCCUUUAUAGGGGUCAACUAGAGUUCGUACAUUAGGUCGACAAGAUCCGAUACUAGGUUCCAUAAAUCUUCUAGAGAGGAAGUAGAGAGAGAAAGUGAAGAGAAGAGAGAAAGUAGAGAGAAAGUGGAGAGGGGAGUAGAGAGAAGAGAGAGGAAACAAGAGAUAGAAAGAGGGAUAGUUCUCUAACCGGCGACGGUGGCCGGGCAGCACAAGAAGAGGAAGAAGACAAUUAAAAAAAGAUCAAACUCGGCAUGAACUAUUGGUAACUCUCUAACCGGCAGCCACAUGCUCUCAGAGCUCUCGGGAGGAAGUGGAGCACGGCUAAUCCCUACGCCUAGUGGCGGCAAGCACAGGAGGAAGAAGCCAAAGCAGACCCCAGUUUCGGAAGGUAAUCCUACGAUUCGCCGGCCCAACUCAUCGUAGAAUCAAAUCUAAAACCAGAAAAAGAAAGAGGAGGCAUUGGGUAGUUACCUUGGUUUGGCGAAGCCUCCAGCGGCUCUUUCCAGCAAGAAAACGAGGAAGAAGGCUCAAAGAAGAAGCUUGAAAUCAGCGGCAAUCUUUGGCGUUUCCGGUGGAGGAAAUCCAAGAAGGAAGAGGAAGACUAAAUAGGCAACGUCUCCGAGUCCUAGAUGAACUCGGAUUGCCCAGAGAGUCCUUGAUUCUCGCCAGAUUCGAAGGAGGAAGAAGAUGACCCUUCAUCCUCUAUUGUUUCGUGCUAGAGAGCAUGGUGUGGCCUUGGGCCUAGCCUCUUCAGGCCGGCCCACAAGCCCAAGGCAAGUGCAGGCCGAUCAAU
rnacentral:lncRNA from 1 species